GGGGAUUGAGAGGGGACUUUAAUUCAGUAAGUGCAGAGGAAUCCAACAAAUGCAUGGAAGGAUCUCAGAAAAUCAUUGACGUUUAACGAUGCUUUAUCGGUGUUUAAACGAGGGGGAUUGAGAGGGGACUUUAAUUCAGUAAGUGCAGAGGAAUCCAACAAAAGAUUUGAUGAUUUCAUAAAGAAAAUCAACCAUGAGAGAAUGUUGCAGAGGCAAGAAUCUGAUCAGCGUGCCUUUAAUAAUAUGCUAAACCGGGCUAUGAGAGAAUGCUGCAGAGGCAAGAAUCAGAUCAACGUGCCUUUAAUAAUAUGCUAAACCGGGCUCGUUAAUUAACUGAGAUUGUUUACUUGUUUAGGUUGAUAGAAAUAGUAUACAUAUAUAUAUAUAUGAGUACUCUUUGUUCAUAAAUGUUGUACAGAUCAAAGCCAUCCCACGAAGAGUUUUUCAGUUUUAACUAGUAUCUGUACUACUACUACAGUCUACAGUUCGCCUUUUUUCCCCUACAGCAUCUUUAGAUCACAUUAUUUUCAUUUCAGUUGGCAUAUACAAUGUUCAAACUUAAGUCAGAACGAUAAAUUCUUCUAACCUUAAAUGCUGCAACAAUUAGAACACAAUCCUUAGUAUUGAUUAGAACAAUUCUCCACAAAUAGCUUCAUUAAAGAUGGAUAGUAGCUCGCAAGAGUUGACUGAGUUGGUUAGGUGAGUGGUUUCCCACAUGGAAGACCCUGCGUUUGAUUCCCCUCACCAACAGCCUCCUCUGAUAGAGUUCGUCGCACUGAACAUGCUUAGUGCGGUUUUCUUCUCGAGCUAUUGCACAUGAGCAGGUUAUUCGGUGUGCAAUCAAAGGGGACCUUGCUCGUGCUUUACAAAUAUGUUUACCUCCCUUAUUUUGAUUUCUUUGUAACAAAUAUUUUAAUCUAUUUAUUAUAAAAAU
rnacentral:lncRNA from 1 species